GAUGAAGAACGCAGCGAAAUGCGAUACGUAAUGUGAAUUGCAGAAUUCAGUGAAUCAUCGAAUCUUUGAACGCACAUUGCGCCCCCUGGUAUUCCGGGGGGCAUGCCUGUCCGAGCGUCAUUACAACCCUCAAGCUCAGCUUGGUGUUGGGCCCCGCCGCCCCGGCGGGCCCUAAAGUCAGUGGCGGUGCCGUCCGGCUCCGAGCGUAGUAAUUCUUCUCGCUCUGGAGGUCCGGUCGUGUGCUCGCCAGCAACCCCCAAUUUUUUUCAGGUUGACCUCGGAUCAGGUAGGGAUACCCGCUGAACUUAAGCAUAUCAAUAGCGGAGGA
rnacentral:misc_RNA from 1 species